rnacentral:rRNA from 1 species
CCUACGGGAGGCAGCAGUGAGGAAUAUUGGUCAAUGGCCGGAAGGCUGAACCAGCCAUGCCGCGUGAAGGUCAGUGCCCCAUGGGCGUUAAACUUCUUUUGUGCGGGAGCAAUUAUGGUCACGUGUGGCCAGUCGAGAGUAUCGUACGAAUAAGCAUCGGCUAACUCCGGGCCAGCAGCCGCGGUAAUACGGGGGAUGCAAGAGUUAUCCGGAGUUAUUGGGUUUAAAGGGGGCGUAGGCUGUGAUGUAAGUCAGAUGUGAAAAUUUGCGGCUCAACCGUAAAAUUGCAAUUGAUACUGGCAGUCUUGAGUACAGUUGAGGUAUGCGGAAUUCGUGGUGUAGCGGUGAAAUGCUUAGAUAUCACGAAGAACCCCGAUUGCGAAGGCAGCUUACUAACCUGUGACUGACACUGAUGCUCGAAAGUGUGGGUAUCAAACAGGAUUAGAUACCCGUGUAGUC